rnacentral:rRNA from 1 species
GACGAACGCUGGCGGCGUGCCUAAUACAUGCAAGUCGAGCGCAGGAAAUCGACGGAACCCUUCGGGGGGAAGUCGACGGAAUGAGCGGCGGACGGGUGAGUAACACGUAAAGAACCUGCCCUCAGGUCUGGGAUAACCACGAGAAAUCGGGGCUAAUACCGGAUGGGUCAUCGGACCGCAUGGUCCGAGGAUGAAAGGCGCUCCGGCGUCGCCUGGGGAUGGCUUGCGGUGCAUUAGCUAGGUGGUGGGGUAAGGGCCCACCAAGGCGACGAUGCAGAGCGGACCGGGGAGGGUGAUCAGCGACACUGGGACUGAGACACGGCCCAGACUCCUACGGGAGGCAGCAGUAGGGAAUCUUCCACAGUGGACGAAAGGCUGAUGGAGCAGCGCCGCGUGAACGAUGAAGGCCUUCGGGUCGUAAAGUUCUGUUGUAAGGGAAGAACAAGUGCCGCAGGCAAUGGCGGCACCUUGACGGUACCUUGCGAGAAAGCCACGGCUAACUACGUGCCAGCCGCCGCGGUAACAC